GUUGUGUAUCUCUUGAAAAUGUGGUUAUGAAUAAGAAUGGAUAAAAAUUGUUUCUGCAUGUUGAGAAAAUCUGGGAUCUCUUGAAAAUUGCAUUUUCAGGUAUUCUGCUGGACUUGCUUCUCUCCAGUUCUGGUUUUUGAUUCUGCUAGCAGCUUGCAGGUGUCUGUCCUUCAUAGCCAGUGUUUGCUUUCAGACAGGCAAAAGAGCAGUAUCAAACUUGAAUAAAUCAACUGUGGAUGCCCCUUUUUUGAAUAAGUUUUGAAUAUUCUGCUGACAGACUGAUUUCUUCAUCUUACUGGUGAUUUUCCAGCUUAGUAAAGGUAACCCCUUGGAAUUCCAUCAUCAAAUAAAGUUCUACAUUUGCACA
rnacentral:lncRNA from 1 species